GCUCGCGGCUCAGGCGAACGCCGCGCGCCGCGCACUCGCCGACGAGGCGCUCAAGCCGAUGAUCGACGCGCUGAAGGCCGGCCGGCACGACGAAGCCGAUCGCCUGAUGAUGACGGUCGCGCCGCCGCUGUCGGUCGCGUGGACGAAGGCGACGAACGCGCUCGACGACGCCCGCGCCGCGUACGGCAAGGCCGCGUAUGACGAUGCCGAGCAAAUGUACGGCUGGCUGCGGCUCGUCCUCGGCGGGCUGAUCGUGUUCGGCCUGGCCGCGUGCCUCGGCUGCGCGAUCGGCCUGCACUUCGCGAUCACGCAGCCGCUCGUGCGCAUCCUCGGGCACCUGCGCCGCCUGUCGGACGGCGAUCUGACGGGCGAGCUGCGCUGGACGUCGCACGACGAAAUGGCCGAGCUCGUCAGCGGCCUCACGACGAUGCAGCGCAGCCUGUCGGAGACCGUGCGCAAGGUGACGGACGGCUCCGAAUCGAUCGCGACCGCGACGCGCCAGAUCGCGGCCGGCAACACCGAUCUGUCGCAGCGCACCGAGGAGCAGGCGGCCGCGCUGCAGCAGACGGCGGCGAGCAUGGAGCAAUUGACCGCGACGGUGAAGCAGAACGCGGACAACGCACGCGAGGCGCAGAACUGCGCGGACAACGCGACCGACAUCGCGACGAAGGGCGCGACGGUCGUCGGCGAGGUGGUCGGCACGAUGGCCGAGAUCGACCAGAGCUCGCAGAAGGUGGCCGACAUCAUCGGCACGAUCGAGGGGAUCGCGUUCCAGACCAACAUCCUCGCGCUGAACGCGGCCGUCGAGGCGGCGCGCGCGGGCGAGCAGGGCCGCGGCUUCGCGGUGGUCGCGGGCGAGGUGCGCACGCUCGCGCAGCGCUCCGCGUCGGCGGCCAAGGAGAUCAAGGCGCUGAUCGGCGAAUCGGUCGAGCGGGUCGCGACGGGCUCGCGGCUCGUCGGCUCGGCGGGCGACACGAUGCAGGAGAUCCAGCGCGCGAUCGCGCGCGUGACGGGCAUCAUGACCGAGAUCUCGGCCGCGUCGAACGAGCAGCGCGACGGCAUCGAGCAGGUGAACCGCGCCGUCUCGCAGAUGGAUUAGGUGUCGCAGCAGAACGCGGCGCUCGUCGAGCAGGCGGCGGCCGCCGCCGCGUCGCUCGAGGAGCAGGCGGACGGGCUGCGCCGCACGGUCGGCGCGUUCCGCGUCGUCGCCUGACGGGCGCGCCGCCCGACGGCGGCGUGCCGGCGGGCGGGCCGCGCAUCCGCCGCACCCGCCGCACUCGAUAUACCCGAUAUACCCGCCGUGCACGGGACGCCGCGCGCCGUCCCUUCUCGUUCGCCCGCGACGCCCGCGAUGCCCGCGAUGCCCGCGCCGUUCGCGCUGCGCGGCCCGCCCCGAGCGGACCGGAUGCGCCUGAAUCGGCAGACGUGGGGCGCGCGCCG
rnacentral:rRNA from 1 species